GUCCAGGGAUGGGAAUCGAACCCACAGUAUUCCCCUUACCGGGCAGAUGCCAUGUCCACUAGGCUUUCCAUCCCUGGA
rnacentral:tRNA from 1 species